AUCAAGCUAAUGAAUCCUAAAUAGGACGAAACAUGCGUCCUGGAU
rnacentral:hammerhead_ribozyme from 1 species